rnacentral:rRNA from 1 species
AGCGAACGCUGGCGGCAGGCCUAACACAUGCAAGUCGAACGAACCCUUCGGGGUUAGUGGCGGACGGGUGAGUAACACGUGGGAACGUGCCUUUAGGUUCGGAAUAACUCAGGGAAACUUGUGCUAAUACCGAAUGUGCCCUUCGGGGGAAAGAUUUAUCGCCUUUAGAGCGGCCCGCGUCUGAUUAGCGAGUUGGUGAGGUAAUGGCUCACCAAGGCUACGAUCAGUAGCUGGUCUGAGAGGAUGACCAGCCACAUUGGGACUGAGACACGGCCCAAACUCCUACGGGAGGCAGCAGUCGAGGAUCUUCCCCAAUGGACGCAAGUCUGAGGGAGCGACGCCGCGUGCGGGAUGAAGGCCUUCGGGUUGUAAACCGCUUUAGGGGGGGAGGAAGCCGCAAGGUUGACCUAUCCCCAAAAUAAGCACGGGCUAAGUUCGUGCCAGCAGCCGCCGUAACAC